rnacentral:misc_RNA from 1 species
UCAACCAUCAAGCCUGGCUUGCUGUUGGACCUCUGGUCGCGGCCCCCGCGACCGGUCCGAAAGUGAAUGACGGUGUCGGUCUGACCCGCGGUGCAACGAGCCUCUGGGCACGCACAGGUGUGGCAGGCCGGCCCGGUCCCAACCACCAUUUUUCUCA